rnacentral:rRNA from 1 species
GACGAACGCUGGCGGCGUGCUUAACACAUGCAAGUCGAACGGCAAGGCCCCUUUGGGGGUACUCGAGUGGCGAACGGGUGAGUAACACGUGAGUAACCUGCCCUUGAUUUCGGGAUAACUUCAGGAAACUGGGGCUAAUACCGGAUAGGAAUCAUUGCUGCUUGGUGGGGGUUGGAAAGCUUCGGCGGUUUUGGAUGGACUCGCGGCUUAUCAGCUUGUUGGUGGGGUAGUGGCUUACCAAGGCUUUGACGGGUAGCUGGCCUGAGAGGGCGGCCGGCCACAUUGGGACUGAGAUACGGCCCAGACUCCUACGGGAGGCAGCAGUGGGGAAUAUUGCACAAUGGGCGGAAGCCUGAUGCAGCAACGCCGCGUGCGGGAUGACGGCCUUCGGGUUGUAAACCGCUUUCAGCAGGGGCGAAGCUUGUGGUGACGGUACCUGCAGAAGAAGCACCGGCUAACUACGUG